AUUGAACGCUGGCGGCAUGCCUUACACAUGCAAGUCGAACGGUAACGGGCCUUCGGGUGCCGACGAGUGGCGAACGGGUGAGUAAUGUAUCGGAACGUACCUUUCAGUGGGGGAUAACGUAGCGAAAGUUACGCUAAUACCGCAUAUUCUGUGAGCAGGAAAGCAGGGGAUCGCAAGACCUUGCGCUGAUUGAGCGGCCGAUAUCAGAUUAGCUAGUUGGUGAGGUAAAGGCUCACCAAGGCGACGAUCUGUAGCGGGUCUGAGAGGAUGAUCCGCCACACAGGAACUGAGACACGGUCCAGACUCCUACGGGAGGCAGCAGUGGGGAAUUUUGGACAAUGGGCGCAAGCCUGAUCCAGCCAUGCCGCGUGAGUGAAGAAGGCC
rnacentral:rRNA from 1 species